GAUGAACGCUGGCGGCGUGCUUAACACAUGCAAGUCGAACGAAGCACUUUAUUUUAUUUCCUUCGGGACUGAUUAUUUUGUGACUGAGUGGCGGACGGGUGAGUAACGCGUGGGUAACCUGCCUUUUACAGGGGGAUAACAGUUGGAAACGGCUGCUAAUACCGCAUAAGCGCACGGCAUCGCAUGAUGCAGUGUGAAAAACUCCGGUGGUAUAAGAUGGACCCGCGUUGGAUUAGCUAGUUGGUGAGGUAACGGCCCACCAAGGCGACGAUCCAUAGCCGACCUGAGAGGGUGACCGGCCACAUUGGGACUGAGACACGGCCCAAACUCCUACGGGAGGCAGCAGUGGGGAAUAUUGCACAAUGGGCGAAAGCCUGAUGCAGCGACGCCGCGUGAGCGAAGAAGUAUUUCGGUAUGUAAAGCUCUAUCAGCAGGGAAGAUAAUGACGGUACCUGACUAAGAAGCACCGGCUAAAUACGUG
rnacentral:rRNA from 1 species